GCAUGGUGGUGCACACCUGUAGUCCUAGCUACUUGGGAGGCUGAGGCAGGAGGAUCACUUGGGUCCAGGAGUUCUGGGCUGCAGUGCGCUAUGCUGAUCGGCUGUCCUCACUAAGUUGAGCAUCAAUAUGGGGACCUCCUGGGACCACCAGGAUGCCUAAGGAGGGGUGAACCAGCCCAAGUGGGAAACAGAACAGGUCAAAACUCCCUUGCUGAUCAGAAUGGAAAAAGCUCAAAAGUGUCUGCUGGAGUUUCAACCAGCAGUUUUUAAAAAGUACGUU
rnacentral:SRP_RNA from 1 species